UACGAGGGGGGCGAGCGUUGUUCGGAAUUAUUGGGCGUAAAGGGUGCGUAGGCGGCCUGACAAGUCUGAUGUGAAAUCCCUGGGCUCAACCCAGGGCCUGCAUCGGAAACUGUCGGGCUUGAGUAUGGGAGAGGUGAGUGGAAUUUCCGGUGUAGCGGUGAAAUGCGUAGAUAUCGGGAGGAACACCGGUGGCGAAGGCGGUUCUCUGGGCCUUACCUGACGCUGAGGAGCGAAAGCGUGGGGAGCGAACAGG
rnacentral:rRNA from 1 species